UUCGUAACAAGCGUUUGCUUAUGAAUCCUCUUUCCAGAUAUCUUUUGUUGUUUUUGAAUACUGGUUAUAAUAUCCUAAGCGUUACCAAGUUUUAAUGCAUUUUUAUAACGUACCUAAUAAAACACGGUUUGCCUUUGAAUUUCCGAUGAGAGCUAUCUAUAGUUAUCUACAUAUCAGUGUUGUUAUGGAUAUCCAUAUCCGUAACCGAAACUAUCGGAUACCUAUCCGAAAUAAAAAAAUAUCCGUAACCGUAACCGAGUCCGAAAUAAAAGUUUCGGAUAGAGCGGAGUCUAACUAAAUACUACACUCGUACGAAUUAACUGUGCACUCCGCUGGAAUGCGACACCUCUCCCGCUACGUAAUGACGUCACAGCGCGAGGUGCACAGCUAAUCCGUACGGGUUAUACUUUAUAGUAAAUAUGACACGUCGUGACAAGUUUUUGUUUUUGCCCGGCUGGCAGACUACCGCGCGCCUGUUUAUUCGUAACUUUAGAGUCUAAAAUAUAGAGUUUAGAGGUACCUACAAGGUACAAUUAAAGUCGAAUAUAAUCAUAUUUGUAUUUCAUUUUACAUAUCUUUAAAAAAUUAAUAUCCGUAACCGAAACUAUCGGAUAAUCCGAAAUAAUUUAAUAUCCAUAAGCGUAACCGAAACCGAUAUUAUAUUUUACCAAUAUCCAUAUCCGGAUCCGAAAUUAUAUAUCCAUAACAACACUGCUACAUAUUAAUACGGUCGCUUUCAUGUCCUAUCCCUAGUUUAAGAUUAUUAUUAAUAAAAUCGGGAAUGGAUCCCGAUUUUAUUUAAUUCUUCAAUCGCUCCCAAAUGUUCAUUUCAAUAUUAUAUCAAUCUUAAUUUCUAAAUCCGCACAGUAAAUAAAUCCCUUAUUUGUCACAUUCAUACAAUAUACAAAGGUAUAAAAACCAUACAUUCAUUGAAUAUCAAUAUCGAAGCGAUUGGAUAAAUUUUCUAUUUCGAUUUAAUAUUCUUUCUUAUAUAUAAAAUUUUUCGGGUCGCGGUGUUUGUUACCAAACUCCUCCGAAACGGCUGAAUCGAGUAUAAAUUUUGUGUGCAUAUCGGGUAGGUCUCAGAAUCGGUCCUAAUCUAUUUUUAUUAUACCCCAAAAAUUUAAUUUACUGAAUUCUUUAUUAUUAAUUUCUAUGGCAAAGCACCGUCUGCUGGGUCAGCUAGUGAUCUAAUAAAAACCACAAAAGCGCAAGUCAUGAUAGUAAUAUUGACACACUUUUCACACAAAUUAUCUUGCCCCAAGUUAAGCAUAUAUAGCCUGUGUUAUGGGUUACAAGACAACGAUAUAUUUAAUACAAUAUACUUACUUAAACAUACAUAAAUUCUAAAAACAUACAUAAAUACAUUUAAACAUCCAUGACUCGGAAACAAACAUACAUAUUCAUCAUAUAAAUGCUUGCACCUACCGGGAUUCGAACCCGGGACCUCUAGCUUAGUAGGUAGGAUCGCUAACAGGUCGUCAUGAUAGUCUAUCUGACAUCAUAAUGAACAGGAUUCGAUUAGAUACAGGUAUCCUAUAAUAAAACUAAGAGCGGUUAUCAUUGCUAUAUUAUUUCGGUACAAAAAAAAGAAAUAAAAGUAAAAUAUUUUUAUUUUCCAAUGCGGUAUUACGACCAUCUUUAAUAUAAUGUAGUGUCGGGGCCCUCGGCGUUAACUCUUGCGUUUUGAUGUCGAUGUCGUCGUAAAUGUAUCGUAAAUCUAUGUAGAAUAACAGCUGUGUCUCUCUCCACGUGUAUUUAUUGGUCGUCCAAAUAUUAUCUUUAAACGGAAUACCUUUAUCAAUAUAUAUAUGUAUAUAUGAGGAUGGAUGAAGUACAUUGACUGCACAAAAUUCAAAAGUAAAAUUAGAAAAAUCCAAAUAUUUUGAGUUUUCUUUAGUGUUCAUUCCGCCAAUAUUUGUCUUUAAACAAUUCGACACGCGUUUUGCCUCAACACGAGCCAUCCUCAGGAGAUGUUGACUCGCCAAAUUCUGGCACUGAGUCAGUCUCGCGACGUGAAAGAUUUGGAUAAGUGAAAUUAGUUAUAAUUGAGGCUUGCAUCACUCGUGGAGAUACGGAUCAGGAGGCGAGGGUUGAGGUCGGUACCGUUCAAGUGUGGGUCUAGUUGAGUAUAAUGGCGCCUUUUCACAAUCGGCGAUUAAAAAAGAUUACACGCGAGCACGAUCGUGUGAAGGGCUUAGGGACUACGCGCACUUAUUCAGCUCCAUUCGCGUUUCGCUGAACGAUUUUGGUCACACUUAUACAGCUCUGCUUCUAUCAGCCGCGUACGGCGUCAUAAGAAUGAGAAUAAUAACUUUAUCUACACCCAUGCUUUAAAUCCUCUAUUAAAGAUUCUGAAACAGUUAAAUUAAAACACCCAAUGUUCUAGUAACCAUUACAUCAUCCAAACGAGUGUUGUAAUGUUGUACUGAAUUUCAUAACAACACUCCUAUUUUUCUUUUUCAAUCCCUUCAUGCUCAAAUAGUUUUAACACAUUCUUAUUGCUCGAUGCGUGGUAUCUGUAUGUAUUUCAAAAAAAGAACAUUUUCAUUUACGCGCGCCCCACACUACCAGAACGUCGCGCGCCUUAAAAAAAAAAGUAGGUUAUUCGAAUGCCCGCCAUUUUUCUUCGAUAUUUUUAUUGUUUUGUUUACAAAAAAUGAGCGAUUCAAUUUAAACGCUGCAAAAGAACAUAAUAUUCAAGUUAAUUUUAAUUAUUGCACUAUAAAAAAUGUAAAUUACUACUAAAAUAAAUAAUUCUUUCAUUAAUACUUAGUUUAUUUGUAUAUAUUAUAUAGUAAUGGAUGGUUACUACUAGGACUGGCUGUUUUAAUGUUAGCAGUAAGCUAACAGUUUCAGAAUCUUUUAGAGGAUUCAUAUUCUGGGUGUAGAUAAAGUCUUGUAUGCAACUGUUGAUAAUUAGGUAUUAAAACACUCAUGUGAUACUAUUAUCAAUAAUAAUAAAUAAUGAUGAACCCACAUUCGUGUUUUAAUACCCCUUAUUACACAACAGUUGCAUAAAUAACUAUUAAAUCACGUCUGCACUCUUUAGUCUUUGCGUGCAUAAUGAUUACGUCAAAUCAAUGCAGGAACAAUACAGGUCGCAACUUGUCGACAAGGAGUCGCGAACCAUCCCUGUAAAGAGCUGUUCCGCCGCAUUCGCCGGCGAACAGCGCUGUACGCGCCGGAACAGCGCCGAAUGCUCUCUAUAGCAUUCGAAUAAUAAAACACAUUUAUCCUCAUUUUAUGCUGGUUUGCCGCGAAAGCAGAAUGGACGCGGAAAGCUGAAUCGACGCGUACACGUCUCUAUACAAAAUUGUUGUUUUCUAUGGACAAAAGCUGAAAAGAGCUGAAUAAGUGCACGUAGGCCCUUAUUCGCUCCUAGUCGCCGAUCAUCGGCUAUCAUCGUCAUAGUGAUCGUGGCGAUCGGUGACUAGUCGGUUUUUCAGGUUCGCAUAGGGAAUUCGCGUGUAGUUGCGUGCGCGGGGCCACGCAAUCGGCGGUCAUUAAUUAAAUUUACUGGAGGACACUGAGCGAAGCCAUGUUAUGUUUUCCUUUUCUUUAUACUGGUAGUUAAAUGAAGAAACAUUUAAAUUCAUAUAACUUUAUCAGAACUACCCAGAAAUAUGGAAUACCAAACAUAAAUAUUGUACUGACAUUAAAUGAAUGCUAGCAGCAGCUAUAUAGGAUGCUUACACGAUGAUACAAGUAACGAUCAUCGCCGAUAGUGGAGAGGUGGCUUAAGGCGGGUCUCAACCAAUACUGACGGGAAUAGAGUUUACCAUCGUGACAAUAUACUGUUCUGGGUGUGUACAAACUGUCUUGCUGUGUCCUCCAUGGCCUACGGUAUUAAUAGAAACAGAGUUAUAGUAGAAAAUAUGUCAUAAUCGUAUGAUUUGUAUUGAUUUCAUUGUACGCGAUUCAGAUAAUCCAAAUUAAAUGCGAUUCGUAAAUUUCUCUUAGUCACCUAGUUCAUGAAUUUUAACAAUAAAAAAAUGAUGUGGUGUCGUGGGACACCAGGUAGGAACGAAGUUCCUUCGGCUAAUGUAGAAUCGAGACAAAUUGCAAAAAAAAACGUUCUAAUAUUGCUAUAAACUUUAUCAUAUAUUAAUAUAAUAAUAUAUACACUACUCGCUUGUGUAUGCGACUGUCGCGCCUCCGCACGUCUCAUUUAACGGUUUUAUUCCACGCACUUUUUUCCACGGAUUUUUUUUUACGGUUUUACUAUCACAUUAUUUUCAGUUCGGUCGCGCAGCAAAAUCCCUAUCCCCUCCAAGCCUGCCGUAAGGAACUUCGUUCCAAUAAAUAUGGAAAUAUUAACGAUUUGAUGCUCAGAAUGCGUAUAUGAGUCUUAUUAUGUUCACUGUGCUAAGUCUCUUUCAGUACUAUAAAGUACGAUAUGUUUUCAGUGUUUUGUUACAGCAAAUAAUGCACGUCAUAAAUAUUUGAGUGCAUAUCCAGGUUUCCGUUGUGAAUCAUAUUGCAGCGCAGAGAAUGAGUCAUGAGUUGCUUCAGUAAACUUUGUUCGGUUCGUGGUUUCGACAGCGAACAAAACGAACGGCCCGCGCCCGCACUACGGCGUCUCCUGCCUGCUCGCGUUCGUCGCGAAACAUUACAUAUGUUGGAGCACAUUGUUUAUAAUGUGAACGUGGAUGUAGGACGCGAGUCGCGAUGUGAUUCAAACGACUCUCUAAAUAUUAUUUGUGUGAUGUGACCUUAAUGUUUAUAGAAACAGUAGCAUGUCCAUUAUGUUACAUAUUAAUUAGCGGAAAUGGCUCGAGAGCGACAGAGUUUUGUCUGUUAGAACUACAGACGGUAUUGUUUAGCGGAUGGAGCUUAGAUCGAUGUGUUAGUCUGUUAUCGUUAAAUAAAUAAAAUAUGUUAUUGUAACUAUUCCUUGUAUAAUAUCUCUAGAAAAUUAUCGUUGUCUAGUCAAGAGUGUCAUGUGUUUCAUAUUUAAUAUUGGAAGCAUUUUUAUGCAAUACUUUUAGUACAAGUUGCAAGAUUCUGUUCGAUCAUCGCUGAAGUGCAGAAUGUUGGUUUUGUCAAUAGUCAUUGAUAUAUUAUUAUUGUAGUUACUAAUAUAAUGAAUAAUUAUUGUUUAGAGAAUUGUUGUGAUUUGUUUAUUCGAUACUAUCUAAUAAUGUAACGUAUACUAUAUGUAGCUAACAGUAUACAGUGUGUUAUGAUAAUAUUUAUAUUUAUUUUUAUAACGAAGUAUAUUGUAGGUAACAGCGUUUAAACAUUACCAAUAAAUGUUAUUCAGUA